GAAGGGGUGGCCGAGUGGUAGAGCGUCAGUCUAGUAAGCUGAGGGUAACGAGUUCGACCCCCCGAACCUCUUUU